rnacentral:lncRNA from 1 species
UAAUGUUAUACAUGUCUGCUUGUUGGUAAAAGAAUAAAUUGUUUACCUGCUGAGUAGAAAAUGUUGUUUUUAAAGAUAGAGUUGUGUAGAAAGUGAACAUAGACUAGGAAAACAUUGAUAUUCAAAUUUUUGGGACCACAUGGGUAUGCUUGCUAUAUAAAAAAAAGAAAAGAAAAAUAUGAAAAAUUACCGUGGCUAGUUUUGUUUCGGGGCCUUUGAUACUUGAGCAAGUACGCCUGAGGGGAUUGUCUUUACGCCUAGCGCCCUAAGGUCUUUUAUGGUUUGGAAGUCGUCGGUGAAAGCUCGUUAAUGGGUAGCACUGCCAGCCUAAUGGAAUAAGGCAUUACACAGUCAUGGGAAAAAGAAAAAUAAAUAAAUAAACACUGCAGGAAAGUGCGAAAAAUCGCCCUCGUGAGUAAAAAUAAAGCAGAAUAUACCCAUUAUUGAACUUUAAUUUGUAUUGAUGUGUUGGAAUAGUUGUUGUUUCAUUAGUAUGCAUAAUUCUUGAUUUAGACUUCAGUUUUCUUUCUUAAGCAGUAUAACUUGUGUAGUCUUUGCCUUGGUCAAGUUUAUUUAUGAACACAUCACACACACACAUCAUCUUUAUAGAGAGUUUGGAUUAUUUGAUUGUAUGAUGUUAUGUCUGUUGGUUUGAUACUUUAUUCUUUAAUCUGGAUAAUUCUCUGAGGCAUACUUGAUUGGAAUUCUAGUUUGGCUGGAAAUCUUGGGACUCACUUGCAUCAUAGUGUAGUUUGCAUAGCAUGUAAUUGCAUUGUUGAUUUUAUUUUUGUGUGCAUUGCUUGAGGGCAAGCAAUGGUUCAAGUUUGGGGGUAUUUGAUAAGUAGGUUUUAUACCUACUUAUUGGUUACCAACUCACUAGAAUUAUGCUCAACUUAAGUAGUUUUAUUUGCUUUUUGUGUUUAUUUUGCAGUAUACAUGGCUGGAACUUCUAUAGAAACCUAAGGCAUGAAAUGGCAUGGUAAUAGCAUUAACAUGGCAUGGUGGACUUGAGCAAAGAGAGAAGAUUGCAGCUGGACUUGAGCAGGUGAGGAGGAUCAAUGAAGUGGUAGAAUGAAGAAGAAAAGAGAUAAAGAAGGAAGUAGCAGGCAACAACAAGAAGUCAACAUAAUUCAAAGUGCUGCAGCCGCGCUGCCAUUAAAGUUAAACAUGGCGCGCCAAAGGAAAUACAGAAGCAAAGUUGCAUAUGGUUGUGCUAAAUGCUUGAUCACCAUUCACGUUAAUUGCUUGCAUGGAUUUGGAAAAUGAAAUAUAAGUAUAGAUUAGACCAUGUUGGCAUAUGUUAUGAGGCUUAUUUGUAUUAGGUUUUGUGAUUCGUGAUUCGUGACCCAAAUGGACAUAUAUACCGGUUCACCAUGUGUAGUCAUUAAGAGAGCUUGUGCUUAAAAUUAUUAUUGCUGUAAAUUCACAGACAUAUAUUGAGUUUGGUAAUUGUGAUGUUUACAUGAUUUCUAUCAAUUGUGGAUUUAGUGUACAUUGGACAUAGCUCAUUGAAAGAUAGUUAUGUUCCACUUUUGUGCUCUUGACUAGCUUUCCAUGUUAAAUAAUUAGGCUAAAACAGAAGGCAUGCAUUCAGGAUGAAGCAUUAGAUGAUAUUAGAAUCCCAUAUUUCUCCAAUUUGAUUACCUCCUUUUAGUAAUUAUUAUUUUUAGUGUUGAUAAUUAAUUUAGAUAUAAAUUCAUUUGUUGAAUGAUCGUAGUGAUUUUAAAAAUGCUGACUUUUUGUAAUUUGAAAAUAUAGCGUGUUUGUUAUCUGAGACGAUAUGGUUGGUUAUCAGAGACGUGAAUUUCAGUUUUUCUAUUAUUGUUCUUAGGUUUAGUCUUCUCUAAGGAGGGUUUGAAGCAUUUCCUUAAUACUUUGAGUUGUCUCUUUAGAUGAUUGCAAAAUAAUAUUAGUCUUUAUUCUAGAGACAUUUGUGGAUUUGAACAAGCCUGGAAACAGACUUUGCAGCAGGAAUUAACAAAUUUGAUCUCUCAUUUCUCUUAUAUUUCUUGUUUGUAUUUCUAUUUUUCAUGUUUUGCUUCAAUCCCAUAAUGGGUGUUGGUUCAGAAAUGAACUAAUUUCCAUUAUGGGAUUCUAAUGGAUUUUAAUGCAGUCUAAACAUGUAUAUACCUGAUCGUGAAGUUGCAUAUUUAACAGUGGAUUGCCCAUAUGGUUGUGCUAAAUGAUUGAAUGCUUGAUCACCAUUCACGUUAAUUGCUUAUAUAGAUUUGGAAAAUGAAAUAUAAGUAUAUAUUAGACCAUGUUGGCAUAUGUUCAUGAGGCUUAUUAGGUUUUGUGAUUCGUAACCCGAAUAGGCAUAUACUGGUUCACCAUGUGUAGUCAUUAAGAGAACUUGUGCUUAAAAUCAUUAUUGCUGCAAAUUCACAUAGACAUAUAGUGAGUUUGGUAAUUGUGAUGUUUACAUGAUUUCUAUCAAUUGUGGAUUUAGUGUAAAUUGGACAUAGCUCAUUGAAAGAUAGUUAUGUUCCACUUUGGUGCUCUUGACUAGCUUUCCAUGUUAAAUAAUUAGGCUAAAACAGAAGGCAUGCAUUUAGGAUGAAGCAUUAGAUGAUAUUAGAAUCCCAUAUUUCUCCAAUAUGAUUACCUCCUUUUAGUAAUUAUUAUUUUUAGUGUUGAUAAUUAAUUUAGAUAUAAAUUCAUUUGUUGAAUGAGCGUUUCAUUUGUUGAAUGAGCAUUUGAGCAUACAUAAAUAGUGAUUAGGUUGUUGCAUGAUAAUUUAGAUUUAUUACCUUUCUCCGUAGGAUCGAUACUUUCUUACUCCUGCGUGUAUACUUGCAUGAGUUAGAGUCCAUUUUGUCAAACCAAAAAGGAGGCAACAAGUACAUGACACGUAAAAAACUCUAAACAGACUCAUAAAGGAAAGACUUGAGUACCCUUACUGAAUAAAAUAGAAAGACUUUUCUAUCCCUCCAAUCAUUUAUUAGAUAACCAACUAAACUAAUUAAGCUUAACAGGUAAUCUUCCCAACAAUUCCCCCUCCCUUAAGAAAAUCCUUGUCCUCAAGGAUUAAAGUUUGGAAAUUCUCUGCAGAUCUUCUGCCAUUCUUCCCAUUUAGCAUCCUCAGGUAUUGUGUUGGACCAUUGCACCAGAACCAUAGUCACAUGGCUGUUGUGUUUUUUGAUAAUUUUCCUGUCCAGGAUUGCAGUUGGCUCAGGUUUCAGCUCCCCUUCUUCAGUCACUCUAGGCAGCAUAGUUUGUAUAACUUUCUUUCUUCCAAUUUUCUCUUUGAGCUGAGACACAUGGAAGACAUCAUGAAUUUUGGCUUCAGGGGGUAAUUUCAGCUGAUAGGCCACCUUCCCAACUCUUUUAAGUAUGGGACAGGCUGUAACUUAAGAAAGACUUCAUCUCCCACCUCAAACUCCCUUUCGGAUCUUUUUCUAUCUGCCUACAUCUUCAUUCUUUCUUGAGCUUUCUACAGAUUUUCCUUUAAUAACUGCUGUAAUUUUUCCCUGUCUUGCACAAACAUCUGCACUGCAGGAUUUCCUUAUGGCCUGGCUUGAUGGUAACUCAGAAUUGGAGGAUCUAUUCCAUACAAAGCUUUGUAGGGAGUCAUGCCAAUGGAUGUAUGAAAAUUGGUAUUGUACCACCAUUCAUCAAGUGGCAGCUACUUUCUCCAUUGAGCAGGUUUAUGUCCAGUCGUGCACCUCAAGUACAUCUCAAUACAUUGGGGGGUGGUAGGCUGAACUUAGCUUGAUCUGUGUCCCCAUGGCUUUAAAGAGUUCCUUCCAAAAACUACUAAUAAAGAUUUUAUCUCUGUCAGAUAUAAUGGCCUUUGGGGUUCCAUGUAGCUUGAUCACAUAAUCUAAUACUAACUGUGCAACUUGUGAGGCUGUGUAAGGGUGUGAUAGAGCCAUUAAAUGGCAUCCUUUGGUGAACUUAUCUACUGUCACCAAUAUAGUGUCCUUUCCAUCAAAUUUAGGCAACCCUUCCACAAAGUCCAUAGUUAUGACUUCCCAAGCUUGAUUAGGAAUAUGAAUUAGCUGCAGUCCUGGAGAUAGUACAUGCUCAUGCUUAUUCCUUUGGCACACAUCACAUUGUUUGACGAAGUCAAUAAAGUCCUUCCUCAAACCUGGCCAGUAGAAAAGGGCUCCAACCCUCUUAAUAGUGGUUGUGAUUCUAGAGUGUCCCCCCUCUGAGCUCCCAUGAAUUGCUUCUAUCAGCUUCGUCCUCACCUCUACUUGAUUUCCCACGUAAAUUUUUCCCUCUUUCCUAAAGACUCCUUCAGACUGAAGAGUGGAUUAGCAUCUAGAUUCAUCAUUAAUGCGGCCAUAACAUGUUGUGCUUCUAAGUCCCCUUCCAAGCUGCCACUGAUUUCAUCCUUCCAAUUUGGGCUCAUUUCUGUAACUGUUGUGCACCUGAUUUCAGUCUCAUAUUUUGCCUGGAUAGGGCAUCUGCCACCAAAUUGUCCUUUCCUUUUUUGUACACUAUAGUAUAAUCAAAUCCAAGCAUUUUAGAUACCCAUUUCUGUUGCACCAGUGUUGUUAAUUUCUACUCCAUAAAAUAUUUCAAUGCCUCAUGGUCUGUUUUAAUGAUAAAUUUCUGUCCUAGCAAAUAAGUCCUCCACCUCUGGACACCCAUAAUAAUGGCUAGCAACUCCUUCUCAUAAGUUGAUAGCCCCAAGUGUUUGUUUGCUAAUGCCUUACUGAGAUAGGCCAAAGGUCUGCCCUCUUGCAUCAAGACAACCCCAAUACCAGUAUGACAUGCAUCUGUUUCUAUGAUGAAAGGUUUCCUGAAGUCAGGUAGUAUAAGCACUGGAGUAAAAGACAAAGCCUCUUUCAAUGUACAGAAGGUGAGAGCUUCUUUUCCCCACUGAAAGGCUCCCUUCUUAAGCAAGUUGGUUAGAGGUUUGGAAAUAAUUCCAUAAUGUUGUACAAACCUUCUGUAGUAGCCUGUGAGACCCAAGAAACCCCUUAGUGACUUCAAAUUUUUGGGAACAUGUCAUUUCCUCGUUGCUUCUAUUUUGUUCUCAUCCACUGCUACUCCAUCUUCUUUAAUUACAUGGCCCAGAUAUUCAAUCUCAGAUUUACAAAAGUCACACUUCUUUUAACAAAGAGCUGAUGCUUUCUCAAAAGUGAAAGUACCUGUCUCAGAUGUUGUUUAUGAUCUUCGAAGCAGUGGUUGUAGACCAAAAUAUCAUCAAAGAAGACUAUUACAAACUUCCUCAAUUGUUGGCUAAACACUUCAUUCAUUACACAUUGGAAAGUGGAUAGUGCAUUGGUUAAACCAAAUGGCAUCACCAUAAAUUCAUAAUGUCUUUGGUGGGUUUUAAAAGCUGUUUUUUGAACAUCCUCAUCUUUGACUCUGAUUUGGUGAUAUCCACUCCUCAAAUCUAAUUCAGUGAACACUGUACUUCCUUUUAGCUCAUCUAGCAGUUCAUCUAUGAUAGGUAUAAGAAAUUUGUUCUUCACAGUAAUGUUAUUUAAAUCCCUAUAGUCCACACAAAAUCUCCAAGUGUUAUCCUUCUUUUUGACUAAAAGAACUGGUGAUGCAUAAGGUGAAGUGUUGUGCUUAAUAAUACCAUUAGCUAGCAUUUCUCUAACCAACCUUUCAAUUUAUGUUUUCUGUAUAUAAGGGUACUUGUAUGGAUUGGCAUUGACUAGUUUGCUGCCUGGAACAAUUGGUAUGUGAUGGUCUUGACUUCUAACUGGGGACAGCCCUUGUGGCUCCCUAAAAAGAUCUUCACAUUCAUCUAGCAGAUUUUUGAUUUCUGUGGAGGGUGACUGAUAACCUAAUUCUGCUUCUUCCAUAGCUGUUAAUUGGGCAAAAAAAUAAGUCCAACGCUAGAACGUUGGAUAUCUUUAGGUAAAGGUGAGUAAGACUUGAAGGAAGAGGCAGUAGUGUAGCAUCCACCCUUAUGUGAACUUGAUUGUCUCUUGUCCAAGGACUCAAAGUGAAGUUCCUGCCCUUUUACCUGAUUUAUUGCAUCUCUGAGAGUCGGUGGUUUCACUACAUAUAGGGCUGUAGCAAUUUCAUCCUUUAACCCACUCAAGAAACUCUCUACAAAAUAUUCUUCUGUGUAACUUUUGUUCUGAGCCAACAUAAAGGUUUUUGACUCCUCAAACCUUUUGAUAUACUCGUCAACUUUGCCUCUUUGUGUAAGUUUAUUAAAUUGACCAGUCAAGUUCUCAUGUAAUCUAGAGGCAAAUCUACUACAAAUAUGCUGAAUAAAAUCCUCCCAAAGCAGCCAGGGGUGUUCAUCGUGAAGAGAUUGGUACCAAAUUUCAUCUUCUCCUUCCAGAUAUAAAGCUGCAUACAGAACCUUAGAUCUGGAAUCCAUGGGAGGGUUCAACUGGAAAAAAAUUUCUCACUUUUUCAACCAUCCUCUAGGAUCUCUUCCUUCGAAUUUGGGAAAGUCAAUUUUUGGCAUUGGAAAGGGCAAAAAAGGGUUGUGGAACUUCAAGUGGAAUUCCCCAAGAUUGUGGGUUACCAGUGGUAGAGUUUGGUCCAUUUUGCAUAUAAGGGUUAGAAGAGUUAUGGUGUACUGAAUACAAAUUGCCAGGGAAAUGUGAUCCAGACAUAGACAGGGUUGUCACUAUAGAGGGUGGAGGUUCCACAUAAGGAUUCCAUAAUGUACCAUUGAAGGGGUACCUUGGAUUGGUGGUAUUAAUCUGAUUAUUUGUAUAGGGUCUUGUGACGGGUUCUGUGGAUGGAUGUGUAAUUAUGUGGCUGAAUGGAGUUGUAGGUACUGGAUUAUUGUUUGGAAUCUGAAUGGGAGGUCUUGUAAUAAUGGAAAAAUUAUUAGUGAAGGAACUGAAAGUUUGCGGUGUGGUUAAUGGAGUAGAAGUGGUUCCAAUUUGAACGAGGGUAGGAGGUACAGAGAUAAGAAUAACAGACUGUGAAAUCAAUGAAGGAUUAAGUCCAUCUACUGAAUUUGAGAAUUGAAAAUUUGUAGUCAAAUUAAAACCGUCAUCAAUCGAUGUUGUCUUACUCAUACCAUUAGAAUUAGCACUUCACCUUGGAUCGAUCGAUUCAGGAGGGAUUCUAGUGCUUCACCUAUCUUCUUUGAGAGUUCAUCUUGAGAGGAUUGAAGUCGUUGCUGCGUACCGGUUACCAGUUCAAACUGCUCCUUCGUCUGCUCAAAGCUCCUCUCCAUCAUCAUUUGGAGUUGUUCCAGCCUAUUUUCCAAGGUCUUGAGAUCUUUCUCAUGUUUUUGUAAACUGGGUUUAGCGGUGGAGUUUGCCAUAACCGUCGGCCCAAGGUUGCUCUGAUACCACUCUGUUAUGACUUUUCUAGGAAUUAGAAAUUACAGGAAGGAAACUAAGCUUGCAGGAAAAGAAGAAAUCGACAGAAGAAUAAAAGGUUCAUUUAUUAGAUAGUUUUGAAAUCAGAUCCCAAUAACACAUAUAGUAGCUCAGCAGCAUUACACGCUAGCACUAUGCUCAGCACAUGACACGUAACAAACUCUAAACAGACUCAUAAAGGAAAGACUUAAGUACCCUUACUGAAUAAAAUAGAAAGGCUAUUCUAUCCCUCCAAUCAUUUAUUAGAUAACCAACUAAACUAAUUAAGCUUAGCAGGUAAUCUUCCCAACAUAGAGAAACUUAUUCGAGUCCAGAUAGUAAAUAUAAUUGCAUUAUUUGGUUUUAUUGAAUCAAGAUGUUAUUGAUGUUGGGAACUAGACUUGGAAAAUAGAUGAAACAAGGGGAAGUUAUCACCUUGGCCCAAGAUGAUUAUAGAAGGUAAAUACAUCAUGUAUCUAAUGUGCCUUUUAAAGGUAAAAGUGUGAUUUUGGUGAUUACUUACCUAGGUUUUGGAUGGUGAGGUAAUGGCUAUAUUGUGCAUUUGUGGGGUGUGCAUGUAAUUAGAGACUUGGUCCAAUAUCAAUGAAUAUUGAAUUUAAGCAAAUGUGAGUUGGAAGAGGGGAAAAGAUUAAAGGAGUACACUAGUAAAACUUGCAUCAGCAAUAGUUCCAAAAUUCUGUCAUUUGAAUUUGGAUAACCCACAAAAAAAUUAUGGUUAGAUAGGUAUCUACGACUGAGGCAACUAGUUAAACAUUUUAUAUAAACAAGAAAUAUAUUUCCCCUCCACUCCAUAUAUAUAUAUGGGUGUGCACAUUGUACACACAAAAUUUUGUAAACUCUAAAAUUUAGAGCGGAAAGAAAUUGUAAUGCCAAAUAUUAUUGAUUUUAAAUAAAAGUGAGUACAAUAUCUCUGUAAAUCUUUUACAAUGAAAAGAUAAAGACCCUCUAAUUAAAGUUCCUACGUUGAUGCGAAUGUGAGGGUUGCACAAACUUGAUCCUGAAUCAACGGCAAAAUCUCCGAUCUGAAUAUGAAACUAUGUUGACUUGAUGGUUGAAGGUCUUGAAGGUUUUGAUCUUUUUAUAAAUUUGAAUAUUCAAGAAGGUCUGAAUAAGACUAUAAAUCUUGAAUCUUCUAAAAGACUUUAAUCUAGAAUAUUCAAGAAGGCCUAAGUGAGGCUUUUGAUCUUGAAUCUUCAAGAAGAUUUGAAGCUUUGAAUCUUCAAGAAUGUCUAAAUAAGGCUUUAGAUCUUGAAUCUUCAAAGCGAUUUAGAUCUUGAAUGUUCAAGAAGGCCUAAAUAAGGCUUUAGAUCUUGAAUCUUCAAGAGAGCUUUGAUCUUCUAGGUCUUCAGAGUCUUUGGCAGAAUUCCUGAAUUUCAUCUUGAUCUUUGGAGCUAUAUCCCUGGAUCUCUGGAGCUGUGUCUCUUGAUCUCUAAUGAUGAGAUAUUCUAGGGAAUAUUCUUUUUUGAUAAUUAUUUUUAUUUUGUUUGUUUAAUAAAGAUAAUCAUUUAUUUUGUUUAUUUAAUAAAGAUAAUCAUCAACAAUUUGUAGUAAUUAUCUCUAUUUAUAAAGAUAAUUGUUAAUUUGUAAUUAUCUCCAUUCAAUUUAAACAAAAUAGUUACCAAUUUCUAAUUAUCUCUAUUUAUAAAGAUAAUUAUCAACUUAUAAUUAUCUCUAUUUAUUUAUUUUUAAUAAAGAUAAUUAUCAAUUUAUAAUUACCUCUAUUUUAUUUGAUAGAGAUAAUCAACUAUGAAGCAUCGUCUCAGACACGAAAUACGGACAGUCGGACACGAAACGAUACACGACAAGCGAUACCGUAUUUUCCAAAAAAAAAAUAUAUGAUACGAUACAUCGGAAACAUGUUCAAUUAUAUAUAUAUAUAUAUAUAUAUAUAUAUAUAUAUAUGUAUAUGUAUGUAUAUACACUACUACUACUAGUACUACUACUAAUAAUAAUAAUAUUAAUGUAUUUUUUACAAUAAAUAAAUUUAAUAUUAAUAGAGCAUGAUAAAAACUUGAACAAAAUAAUAAGAAAGACAAAACCAUUGCAUAAUAAAUAUCAUAAAGUUACAUAAUAUUGUCCAAACUCAAAAAGACAUAAAAUAACCCAUAACUUUUAUAUUGCAAUUUAAGUACUUCAAUUUUUACUUUUUUUACCCCAAACGUGUCCUAUAGCGUGUUCCGACGUGUCUGAGGCGAGUCUCGACGUGCCCUUGGUGUGUCCUAACAUGUUUGAGGCUUGUCCAAGCUUUAAAAUAAUAAAUAAAAAAAGUGAAGCUUUCGGACACGUGUCGGGUGUGUGUCGGAGCAAAUUUGUGUCUAACACAAAUUCGUGGUCCUUUGGCAAGUGUCCGUGCUUCCUAGAUCAUCAACUUAUAAUUAUCUCUAUUUGAAUAAGGAUAAUUAUUAUUUUAUAAUUAUCUCUAUUUUAUAAAGAUAAUUAUCAAUCAACCAAUCAAAAUUCAUUAAUAGGGUACUUUUGGUCUCACAUAACAAUUUAUUUUAUUUGCCAAUUUAAUAAAAUAUUUUGAUUGGUUGAAUUGCGUCUUUUUUGACACGUGGCGUUUUGUAAUUGGACCACAAAAGUUGGUGUCCUACACGUGUGUGUGCAUGAUAUGUAUUUCCUAGGCAGCAUAUUUGUGUUUAUGCCACUUAACUUGGUAAGUAGUCAUCUGUGCACAUUCCUAACCAAACCUUCUAAUUCUCGGUUUGUCUAUCAUUCAAUGUUUAAUCUGAUUUAAGAUUUCUAGGGAUGUAUUCUGAAAAUGUUGUACAUUUUUUUGAGGGUGAGAUGUAUUUUGCUGAAAGAUUAUGCUGUUUAUCUUAUCUUCAUGCUGAAAUAUGUGCCCAGAAAAUGUGAACUUGCUGUUGUUUUAUGGAGUAUUUUUUACCUUUUUAUAGUUAUUUUUUCCAUUUCCCAUCAAGAAGAUUAAGGUUGCAUCCUUCAUGUUUCUGCAACUGUGCUGAAUUCAUGGAAUUACUGAAUUUAUUUUAUUCGUGUGUGGAUGUUAUAGGAAUCUGGAAUCAGUGGAUUGAGCAGCAAAACACACAUGAAGUUAAUGCUCAAGUGGAUGAGGGGGAGGAAGAUGCUUAAGCUGUUAUGCAACCACGUUGGUUUCAACAAGAAAUUCCUGCACUGUACGUUGCCUGAAGAACCACAAAGUUCCCAAUCAUACAGUUCACUAGAACUUAAACCACAGACACAGAAGCCUCGAGCAAGGGGAGGAAAAAUAAGAAAGAAAAGCAAAUGAAAUAAUAAAGUAUGCGAUGACUCUAUUAGUUAGGAGGCUGCCUCAUACUGUAUGCUUCUUGUGGUUCAUAUCUGGAUUGAUUAUUCUCUUGGGCCGUGUGCAUCAUUAGCUUGCUUUCUUUAUUGGUAGACAAUUCCCUGAUAUUGUAUUGGACUUGAGCUAUACUAUCCAGUCAUGCAGCAGCUUUGGCAUGCUUUACAAGUUGUCUAAUUGAUUGCUUGUACUUUUGAUUUUCUAUGUGAAGCUGUUUUCUAGUAGAAUUAUUCAGGGAAUUAGGUCCUGGGAAAUAAAGUUGUAUUUUCCAUCUCAUUGAAUAUUUUUGUUCUGUGCUACGAAGUAUUCCCCAGAUUCCAAAUUAGAGAUAAUUUACGAAAAUUAUUAUUCGGGCUUUAUUAGCUUGAUAUAGUUGAUCGUUGUUUAUGGUACUCCUUCCAUUCCUAUAUGUAGGUCGUUUUAAACUUUUUUUUGUUAUUCUUAAUUAUUUGUCGUUUCUGGUUAUGUAGGAGAAUUGAUCACUAUUUUUUCAAAUUGUCCUUUAUUACUCCGCCCAAUUUUUUGAUCCAUAUUUAUGAUCUCCUCUACUUAAGUCUCUCUCUCUCAACAAAAUUCUUUCAUCUUUUUUCUUUAAAAAUCUGAUAAUUAAAGUGUUUUAUGGGAAGAGAGAAAGAGAAAGAAAAUAAGAGUAAAUGAGACUAUUGAGAUUUUUUAGGAGUAAAAUUAUAGGAAAUUGUUAAUCUGUUAUUGGAGAGAGAGUAUGAGAUAAGUGAGGUAAAGGGUAUUAUAGACAAUUGAUAGUAUAGUUAAUGAUUUUUAAUUAUUUCCUUAAUUCUUGUGUACAUGUCUAAAACGAUCUAUAUUAAAUAAAGAACGGAGGGAGGAGGGAGUAUGUAAUAUUGUUAAAGUUCCUAGGCGUUGUAGUUAAAGCUCAUAAAUGAUUGCUUUGGCCGUUGCUACUAGGAAAUCUCAUUGUACUACGUCCGGAUAAUAGAAUGAAAAAAUAAAAAAUUGAAUAGAAUAGAAAUAAGAAGAUUUUUAGAUUUUCAUAUAAUUGGGUCAGUAAAGCCCAAGUCGAUCUUUCGGCUCAUUUAAAGUCUAAAGAUAGCUCGAAUUUUCAUUUAAAGAUCGGUCGAAUUUUAUUUGAGAGUGAAGAAAUUAAGUUCGAAUUAAAUUCGGGUUGAGUUGGUCAAUAAUUUGUUCGGCUCAUUAUAAGUCUGAAUGCCUGAUCAAAUUAUAAUGUUAAAAACGUAUUAUAUAUAUAUAUAUAUAUAUAUAUAUAUAUAUAGAGAGAGAGAUUAAUUAUUACAUAUUUAAUCUUUCAAUUUAUAUUUAUAUAUAAUAUUCUCAACUAAAAUUUAAGUAUAAAAAAUGAUACGUACGUCGAACGAGGUUUCCAAAUAGGAAAGUUAGAGAGGCUCUCCAUUCCCCCCACCCCCAUCUUUCAUUUCGCCACCAUCCCUCUCAUUCGGUCCACCCAAUUCCCUUUCCUCCCUUCCCUUCCACUUCGGCUCACCAUCUCCUCCUAUCCUCUUCCAUCGAUCUUGUUGGGUGCGAUUUAUGCCUUUCCGGCGGCUGAAUGUGGGCCUUCCCGAUGUUCCUUUUCUGAUCUGUAAUGAGCCAAGUCUGAGGGUGCUAGAUCGUGGGUUUUCUCUGUUUGAUCAGUAGGGAGCUUGAUCUUUGUGUGUGCUAGAUUUGGGGUUAUGAUCUGGUGUGGAGGCACUAUGGAUGGGGUUUCGUAAUUUGAUGGUUGCUGGUGUUUUGGAGUUUUGGAAGAUGGUUCUUUGCGGAUCUAGUUUGUGUGUUUUCUGUUCAUUUGCGUCUUAAAUCAAAUCUUGUUUUGCUCGUCGGAUAAUGGGUCAGUCUGGUUUAUCUGGAUUCGCUGAUUUAAGGCCCUAUGGUUUCGGUUGCUCUGAUCUAAAGUACUUUCGGUGACGAUUUGGGCUCUUGGGUUUGUCACGAUCUGAGCUUAUGAUGGUUUCACUGUAUAUCUUGUUCAUAGUCAAAUUGAGAGUAUUUAGUACACAAGUCAAAUAUAUUUGUAAUAAUUUUAUUCAUUUAUUAAUAAAAAAAUUAUUUAAUUAAAAUUUUUUAAUUUAUUUACAUGGUGUUAUUUUAUUAUAUGUAAUAAAUUAAUAGUUUUGAGUAAUACUUUUAGAAUUAUGA